AGAGUUUGAUCCUGGCUCAGAAUGAACGCUGGCGGCAUGGAUUAGGCAUGCAAGUCGAACGAGGCCUUCGGGCCUAGUGGCGAAAGGGUGAGUAACGCGUGAGUAACCUGCCUCAAGGUCGGGGAUAGCCCGGGGAAACCCGGAUUAAUACCGGAUGUGGCGAACUAGUUUAUCUGGUUCAGCUAAAGAUUUAUCGCCUUGAGAUGGGCUCGCGUCCGAUUAGCUAGUUGGUGAGGUAAUGGCUCACCAAGGCAGCGACCGGUAGCUGGUCUGAGAGGAUGGUCAGCCACACUGGGACUGAGACACUGCCCAGACUCCUACGGGAGGCUGCAGUCGAGAAUCUUCCGCAAUGCGCGCAAGCGUGACGGAGCGAUGCCGCGUGAGGGAUGACGGCCUUCGGGUUGUAAACCUCUGUCACCCGGGAUGAAUUUUGACAGUACCGGGAGAGGAAGCCACGGCUAACUACGUGCCAGCAGCCGCGGUAAUACGUAGGUGGCGAGCGUUAUUCGGAUUUAUUGGGCGUAAAGGGUCCGCAGGGGGUGAAGCAAGUCUGAUGUGAAAUACUAGGGCUCAACCUUAGACGUGCAUUGGAAACUGCCUCACUAGAGUAUCGGAGAGGAAAGCAGAAUUCCUGGUGUAGCGGUGGAAUGCGUAGAUAUCAGGAGGAAUACCAAUGGCGAAGGCAGCUUUCUGGACGAUAACUGACCCUCAUGGACGAAAGUAGGGGGAGCAAACAGGAUUAGAUACCCUGGUAGUCCCUACUGUAAACGUUGUGCACUAGGUGUUGGGGGAUUUGACCCCCUCAGCGCCCCAGCUAACGCGAUAAGUGCACCGCCUGGGGAGUACGGCCGCAAGGUUAAAACUCAAAGGAAUUGACGGGGGCCCGCACAAGCGGUGGAGCAUGUGGCUUAAUUCGAGGCUACGCGAAGAACCUUACCUGGGCUUGACAUAUAGUUGCCGGGCCGUGAAAGCGGUCUUUCCUCUUUGAGGACGAUUAUACAGGUGCUGCAUGGCUGUCGUCAGCUCGUGUCGUGAGAUGUUCGGUUAAGUCCGGCAACGAGCGCAACCCGUGUCGUCAGUUGCCAUCAGGUAAUGCUGGGAACUCUGACGAGACUGCCCGUGUCAAGCGGGAGGAAGGCGCGGAUGACGUCAAGUCCGUAUGGCCCUUACGCCCAGGGCUGCACACGUGCUACAAUGGCUGGUACAAUGGGCUGCGACGCUGCGAAGCGUAGCUAAUCCCCAAAACCAGUCCCAGUUCGGAUUGCAGUCUGCAACUCGACUGCAUGAAGCCGGAAUCGCUAGUAAAGGCGUAUCGGCAACGACGCCUUGAAUACGUUCCCGGGCCUUGUACACACCGCCCGUCACAUCAUGGAAGCUGGAUGCACCCGAAGUCGUUGACCCAACCUUUCGAGGAGGGAGGGGCCGAAGGUGUGCUCAGUGACUGGGAUGAAGUCGUAACAAGGUA
rnacentral:rRNA from 1 species